UGUCAAGGGAUGGGAAUCGAACCAACGACCUUCCGCUUACCGGGCAGAUGCCAUGACCACUAGGCUACCCUGGAC